UGCUAAUUAAAUCAUUUAUUAUUUAUUGAUGAAGUUUUUUUUUUGUUUCGUUUGUUGAUAUACUGUCUUGACUUCACUGUUGUAGCUAGCAGCAACCUUUGUUAUUUGGUUUAUCAUAGCAGCACUGCACACAUACAUAUUUUAGAUAAAUGGAUUCUGAUGAUGAUUGCGCUCGUCAAAAUGAGGAAAAUGUCACUACUCAUAGUUAUGAAAAUGAAGUUAAGUGUGUGGCGGCUAUUUGCAUAAGAUCAUCAAAGCAAGAAGUGGUGGAAUUAAAUUUGAGGUGAAUGGAAUCAAAGUGGUCAACCAAUUGAGCCCAACAGUUCCAUGAUGGUAAGUUAUAUUGGUUCAAUUGUUCGAUAGAAUAUCCCAAUUACAAUUGAUGAUUGGAGAGAUAAAACUUUGAAAGAUACUAAAGAUAUCAUGUGGAAUGAUAUACUAGUAACUUUUUUACUCAACUUAUUUGUUAGUUAGCAUUAUUUUCAUUGAAAUACUUUUACUCAAACUCUUUCUUUAUUUGGUUUAUAGUCGGGGUUUAACGUAUAUGAUGUCCGAAAAAAAUUAUGUACUUAGAGUUGCCGGGAAAUUGCAUAGAAGAUUUAUAUCUUACUUGACAAAGUUCUAUUUAAGAGAUGUUGAUGGGAAUUUGAAUGUCGAAGCUCUGAAAAUAUAUAAAGACUACAUAUCACCUAAAGAGUGGGGCGCUUUUGUAGCUAAACGUGCAGACCCCGCUUUUGUGGUAAUAUUAAUUUAAUAGCAUGUGUGUUUUAUUCAAAUUCUUAGCAUAUUUUAUUUACACGACCGCUAUUUUUUAUAUAGAGUAUAAGUACUGCAAAUCGCGAUAGAGAAUUAAAUCCCUUGCAUUCAUACAAAAAGUCGCGUAUGGGAUAUGCACGUUUAGAGCAAAAAAAAUUAAGUAAAUAUAAAUUUAUACAACAUUGUAGAUUAUAAACUAUAGUUUCUAACUAAUAUGAUUAUAUGUCAUCAUAUUUUGUGGAAGGAGGCUCGCUUGAAUAAGGAUGAACUAGUUGAUAAUGAAAAUGUUCAACAAGGGAUAGAACAAUGUGGUAUCUCAUUUGGUGUGCUUUAUUUAUCUUCCCCUACUUACCGUAUGGUUGGAAAAGGAACACUGCAUAAUACUUUGGAAGAAAUAUUAAACCAUAAUCUGAUCCUUGUCGACUAUGUUAAAGUUUCACCUGUGAUUGCUUUAGAACCUGACAAUGAUGGAGAUAUGAAGUUGUUGGGAGAAGCAAUAGGUAGUUAAUGACAUGACCCAAAAAUCUUUCUGGCAUAUAUAUGAUUCCUACAAUUUCUAAAGAGAAUGACAAGAAGAUUCAGCCUCACAACAAAUUAUUCACUUCACCAAAAAAGAUACAAGUAAAAGCUACAGAAAAAGGUUAAGAAUGUUGAGUCAAAAAAAUAAAUCCAUCGCACCGCAAUUGCAGGUUCGUGAUACAAUAUUUAAUCAAUCACUAAUUUAUUUAGAUUCACAUGUUUUAGAUUACUAAAAAUUCUAACAAAUUGAACUACAUUUUUUUUAUAUUCAAGCAAAAGUUGUGGGAUAAGUUAAGAAAGUUAAGCCUAAAAAUAAAUCUACCCUACAAAAACUGGUCCAUGGAAAAUCAGAUGCUUCUCCUAAAAUUAGUCAUCCGAACCUUUCUCGAUUUGGUAUGUGUCUUGACGUAACAGAAAAACGUAUAUGGAAAGCAGAGAUACACGUAUCAUAAAAAUGGAGAAAGGUAUUUUCGGAUUUUAUUAUGAAGAAUUACUUAAUAAAGAGCACAUAUAUGAACAUUUGAAUCAUGAUGAGUUGGGUGCUACUGUCAUCAACAUAUACAUUAGGUAAUGUAAAAUAAUUUAUUAAUUUGAGAUAAAAAUUUAUUUUACUUGCAUCACUGCCACAUUUAUUAGUAAUUAAUAUAUUUUAUAUUUUCAUUGAAGGUAUUUGUAUUUAAAGUUGGUGUGGUUGCGCCAAUUGACAAAUAAAUUUUCGUUCUUAUCUCCCCAUAAGCUAUCCAUGUUUCAACUUGAUCUAAUUACAGUAAAAAUAUAUGUUGUUGAUCUACUUGUGGAAAAUAAAGAAAAGGAUAAGUUGUUUCAUGUGUCAUAUAAUUCAGGGUAAUUAGAUAUUCAUUAUCUAUAUCUUGUUUAAUUUAUGAUACUUUAUCAAUUGUAUACAAAUUUGCCAACUAAAUUUUUGUUGUUGUAGGCGACAUUGGAUGUUGUUUGUCAUCAAUGUCACCUAAUAAAUUAUAUAUUAUCUGGAUCCACUGCACAAUCAUUAUAACAAUCACUCAAAAAUAAAGAAUAUCUUAGAUACUUUUAUGUGCUCAAUGGGGUGCUACAAUGUCGAAGCAUAAGUCAAGAAAGAUCACAUGGGUUCCAGUAAAGGUUUGAAAUAAUAAAUAUGUUUUACUUAUAUACUUUUUAAAUUUUUGUUAUAGAACUUAAUAAUAUGUCUUUAAAAUUUCGUUUACAAUCAAUGCAUAACUAUAUAUUGGCGUACAUGUUUUGUAUUAUAGUGCUCUCACCAAGGUAACAACAUAGACUGUGAGUACUAUAUUUUGCGAUUCAUGAAAGAGAUUAUUGUUAUGAAUCAAAAUAUAAUUCUAGAAAUGUACAUUGAUAACUCCAAGUCAACUUACUCUGGAAGUGAUCUAACUGAAAUCAAGGAAGACUAGUGUCAGUAUGUGCUCGAACUGAGAGUUGUAUAAUUUGUUAUUAGGUGAGUUUCACAUUGUAAACUAUUAUUUGUAUAUUUGUAUGUGACCUGAUAAUUAUUCUAAUUUAUUUAUUUUAUUUUUUGUUA